rnacentral:lncRNA from 1 species
CUUGAUUUGUCAAGCCCUUCUAUUUGAUCAGUCAUUUUAGUUUAUCUCCUAACAUACAAAUAAAAAGAAACCUCUUAAAAAUCAAUAAAUAAAAAGCCUUUACAAGAUAUAUAUGAUCAAAUCGUAUAUUAUCAUGAUAAAUGCAGGAAAAAUAAUAAUAUCAUACGGCCUGAAAAUUCAAUUUCAGAUAGCACUAUGCAGUCUGAAAAAUUAAGUUCAGACAGCAACAAACAAGAAAAUAGAAUGCAGUCUGGAAAUUCAAUUCCAGACAGCAAUAUGCAAUCUGAUUACAUAAGAUUUUAUCCAGUAAAUAAACCAGAACUAGGUCAUUAGAUGGAAUUUGGUGUCCACAGUUUGGAUUAUUCAAUUGAACAUGCAUGUCAUUUCUCUGGAAUUUGGGUGAUUUUUGUGACUUGCACACUUCAUAGAACUAAUGAAAGGAUUAACAUCUGAAAAUCUUAAUUUCCUAAUGCCCCGUACGGCAGUCUAAUUAAAAAUGGCAUUUCAAUUACAUGGACGUAAUAAAAUUUUGUCUUAACAGUUCUCAUUUAGAUUUUGGACCCAUAGCUAGCCAAAAUUGAUGUUAAUGUGCAAAAUUGAUAGUUGACCAUCAUGUUUCUAAGGAUGUAGAGAAGAUGGAAUAAUCUAACUGCUGUCUGAAUCAUGUUAUUCAAAAUUGAUUAGACAAUCUACGCAUUGUUCAGAUCAUAGUUUAUUGUGCAGAAUGAUGGAAAUUUUUUUAACAAAUCAUUUGAAGGUUUUUGUUCUACCUGAAGAUGUUUCCCACACUUCAAUAACGACUGGAUCUUCUUGUUGUCAAUUAAUUUAUUUGCAGACCUGAAUCCAAAUAAAAAUAAAAAAUCAGUUACAAAUGAUUUCACAAGUAUCCUUUUGAUGAAUCAAAUAAACCUUGGUAGUUAGUCCUACAUUGUUCUUAUGUAGAUUGGCCAGGACUUGUCCUACAUUGUUCUUAUGUCCAGGACUUGUUCAAAGUAAGUCUUUUCGUUUUAUUACUUUAAUUGUCAUACAUUAUCCUACAUCGUUUUAUUACUUUAAGUUUCUGUAUAAAUUUGUAUUUCUAUGAAGUGUGCAAUAACUACAAUAACUUGCUGGCAACUACUGUGGAAGUAGAAGGGAAGAAGACAAGUUCUUUGAUAGUUUUGAAAACUUUGUUUUAAUUUAAUUUUUAUUAACUUCACUGAAAAUAUCAUUCACCCAGCCAAAUCAUAAUUCAGCUAUUCAAGGAAAAUACUGACUAUUUUAUGUUUUUCACCAGUGCAUUUGAUUUUAAGGUCACGAAUGCUUGCUCUAUUUUGUUUUCAUGAAAAAUUUAACGAUGAGAAUCCUGUUCUCUGAUUUUUUUAUUUAUUGCAGGGAAUUGCUGAUCGAGUUUGCCUUGGUCUACUCCCGACCAGUGAGGGAAGCUGGUUUACUGCUAUCCAAGCUCUAAAGUAAAUAUUUCCAUCAUUGCCGAAAUCUUUCUAUUUCAUUAGUUCUCAAUCUCUCAUCGCUUAAAUGUUGAGGCAGAAACAAUACCUAAAAUUAAAUUGCUUAGGGUAUUUAAUAAUCAUCAAAGCAGUAAAUCAAUAAAGCAGUUGAGUGGUACUUCACUUGAUUACUGCUUAAGAGCUGGUAAGUAACUAAGUGAGGAUCAAGAUUUAAAAUAUGCACGUGCUUGGUAUGUACCUUAGUGUAUUUUAAAUCUCAGAGAGGAAUCGAUCAGUGGAUGGAAGAUUAAGAGCUGGUAAGUAACUAAUAGGGUUAAUUCGAGUUUGCGAUUUAAUCAAUUCAACCUAGAGUUUAUCUUUUUUUUACAUACUAAAUUCAAUACCCACAACUUAAAUAAUUAGGGUUUAUCUUUAUUAUAUAUAGUUACAUGAGUUGGAGAUGAAGCUUGCAUUGGAAAAAUCGGAAUAUGCAGAAUAGAGGUGAUGAACUUACCUGGAAGAUGCUUGACGGCGGACAGGAGUGAACAAGAAGUUGUUCGUCGGAUGAAUGGAGUGAUCGUCGGCGAACUGGAGGGAUCGUCGGCGGAGUGGAGGGAUCGUCGCCGGACUGGAGAAAUCGAUUUGGGGUUUUGGGUGUUUGAUUUGGGGAAAGUCGAUUUGGGGUUUUGGGGUUUGAUUUGGGGAAAUAACUAUAAAAUGACUUAACUUUUGGGAAAUCUUUUAGGAAAUACAAUUUAUACAAUUUAAUACAAUUUAAUAACAUUUAAAAUCUUUUGGGAAAUAACUUUAAAAUGACUUAACUUAGUUUAUACUUUUGGGGAUAUUACAAUUUAACUUAGUUUAAAAUUUAAAAGUUAAUAUUACAAUUUAUUAAAAU